UUACUUACCUGGCAGGGGAAAUACCAUGACCAUCAAGGUGGUUUUCCUACUGGUGGGGAAAAAACAUUUUCUUGGCAGGGGAUAGUACUCCAUAAUUAAC
rnacentral:snRNA from 1 species